rnacentral:lncRNA from 1 species
UUUCACAUGUUUAGCCAUUUCAUAAAAGACAUCACUGCAAGAUAAAAAUUUAUUCUCUAGGGAAAGCAGAUAGAAACAUACCACUAUUUUGAGUCAAAGUGCCUCAAGGUAAUUUACAAAACACAUUGCAAUAUUAUGUUGAAGAAGCAUAAAAAUUCCACUGGGAGGCAUUGUAUAGUCUAAUACACUUUUCACUGUAAGACAAAACAUUACACAGAAACACCAGAUUGGCAGGCCUAAGUAACUGGAAACAAAACUAAUUCAGACACUGAAACAAAAUUGUAUUUGCUUAUAAGUCUUAUGAAAGGGAAAAGCAAAGGUGACGUUCUUCAUACAGACUUCAUACAGCUUUGAAUAAGGGGUGAAGGACAGCUCUGCCUUUUUGUGAUUUGUUCUUUGUUUUGAAAUGACAAUUACAAUUUUAAUAUCAUAGUAUCAAGCUGCUGGAUUGGAGAGGAAAAAUUUCUCUUUAACAUGGAGUAACCUAAUUCUGAGGGUAUGUUUGGUAAAACAUACUGAAUGAGGCAACUUAAGCUACCUUGGAGAGAACAGCAUCCACACACGGAAGCACAACAGAACACAAGAAAAACUCAGAGAUGAAAUUUCUGUGUUAUUCCACAGCCUUUUGAGUACUAUGUGGAAAAAGAACACAACGCUAUUUCUGGCAUCCAGAUAAAAGCAGUUUGGUUUCUGGAAGCUGUGGAUACUUUGCUGAUACCUGCUGCAUCUGAUAGUUUCUUCCUGAUUUCUUCAAUCAAAGUCAAAACUGAAAGCACAACAGCAUGUGCUCUCUUUGGGCAUCCAAUCAGUCUGAAAUGGUACAUUUGUGAAACAAGCAAAGCUCUUCAGCAUGAGGCUUGGGAAGAUAGGUACUGGGUGUCAUCAAUCAAUGAAUUUUCCAGCAGGUCAUUUCUCAGAGCAUCCAUUCUCCUGAAGGCAGUUCCAGAGUUUAAAAAUUAAACCAAAU